AGCUCCCUGCCCUAAGAACACAUUUAAACCAUCUAACACUCCCUUAGAUCAUAUGUGGCCAGGAAGAGGACGACCUCUCUAUGAGCUGUAGGAUAAGUUUUCAAUUUAGAAAGGACAUUUCUGGGCACAGAAAAAGAAAGAAGAGAGGAUUUGACUGGGUCGAUUGUAUAGAAACGAACGGAGCAGCUUUUUGCAUAGGAUCAAUUGUUUGCUGAGAGCUCUGGCGACGUGAAGACAUAUUUUAUUUUUUGCUGCUCGCUGUGAGCGAACGCAGACAAGGAGAAGGUGUCUGGAUGAGCUGUGGACGUGAACUGGAGCGGCGCGUUUCCCGUCUGUUCUGAAACAACGAGCGACAUCUGGAAGGCAAGGAGUCAAAACCUAAUGCAUUGUUUUAGAGGGAAGAUAUUUUAUUUACCAUGCCAGCACACAUUCUAUUUUCCGAUAGAUAACGUGAUAUUAAAAGUAUUAAAAUCGACAAUCAAAAGCUGGAAAAUCACAGCAUGACCAUGUGUUUUGUUUUGCGUUUUGUGUCAUAAAUGGAUUAUAA